AUAGCGUAUAUUAAAGUUGUUGCAGUUAAAAAGCUCGUAGUUGAACCUUGGACCUGGCCAACUGGUCUGCCUCACCGCAUGCACUGGUUUGGUCGGGUCUUUCCUUCUGGCAAACUGCAUGCCCUUCACUGGGUGUGUUUGGGAACCAGGACUUUUACUUUGAAAAAAUUAGAGUGUUCAAAGCAGGCAUUAGCUCGAAUACAUUAGCAUGGAAUAAUAGAAUAGGACGUGUGGUUCUAUUUUGUUGGUUUCUAGGACCACCGUAAUGAUUAAUAGGGAUAGUCGGGGGCAUCAGUAUUCAAUCGUCAGAGGUGAAAUUCUUGGAUCGAUUGAAGACUAACUACUG
rnacentral:rRNA from 1 species